CUACGUGCCAGCAGCCGCGGUAAUACGGAAGGUUCGGGCGUUAUCCGGAUUUAUUGGGUUUAAAGGGAGCGUAGGCCGUGGAUUAAGCGUGUUGUGAAAUGUAGAUGCUCAACAUYUGACUUGCAGCGCGAACUGGUUUACUUGAGUGUGCGCAACGUAGGCGGAAUUCGUCGUGUAGCGGUGAAAUGCUUAGAUAUGACGAAGAACUCCGAUUGCGAAGGCAGCUGACGGGAGCGCAACUGACGCUUAAGCUCGAAGGUGCGGGUAUCGAACAGGAUUAGAUACCCUGGUAGUCCGCACAGUAAACGAUGGAUGCCCGCUGUUGGUACCUGGUAUCAGCGGCUAAGCGAAAGCAUUAAGCAUCCCACCUGGGGAGUACGCCGGCAACGGUGAAACUCAAAGGAAUUGACGGGGGCCCGCACAAGCGGAGGAACAUGUGGUUUAAUUCGAUGAUACGCGAGGAACCUUACCCGGGCUUGAA
rnacentral:rRNA from 1 species